ACGACCAUAUCACGUUGAAACAUCGGUUCUCGUACGAUCACCUAAGUUAAACAACGUUGAUCCUGGUCAGUACCUAGAUGGGUGACCGCUUGUGAAUACUAGGUGUUGUCAG